UACGUAGGGGGCAAGCGUUGUCCGGAAUCAUUGGGCGUAAAGCGCGUGUAGGCGGUUCGGUAAGUCUGCUGUGAAAGUCCAGGGCUCAACCCUGGGAUGCCGGUGGAUACUGUCGGACUAGAGUACGGAAGAGGCGAGUGGAAUUCCCGGUGUAGCGGUGAAAUGCGCAGAUAUCAGGAGGAACACCAAUUGCGAAGGCAGCUCGCUGGGACGUCACUGACGCUGAGACGCGAAAGCGUGGGGAGCAAACAGG
rnacentral:rRNA from 1 species